CUGCUGCCUCCCGUAGGAGUUUGGACCGUGUCUCAGUUCCAAUGUGGGGGACCUUCCUCUCAGAACCCCUACGCAUCGUCGGCUUGGUGGGCCGUUGCCCCACCAACUACCUAAUGCGCCGCAUGCCCAUCCGUGACCGGAGUCGCCCCCUUUGGCCGGCAGGGGAUGUCCCCUCCCGGCAUUAUGUUGUAUUAGGCGGGAUUUCUCCCGGUUAUCCAUCUGUCACGGCCAGGUUGCAUACGUGUUACUCACCGUGCGCCGGUCGCCGG
rnacentral:rRNA from 1 species